ensembl:lncRNA
GGUAACGUUAGUUAUUUUAAAGAUGUCUCUCACUGGUAUUUGUACAGUUAAUUAGCACAAUACUUUAGCUUUACACAUUUGCUUUCAGAAUAAGCUACUUUACAUUUGUUGUUCUAGUAGUAGCAUGAUCUUUUAUUUUAAACAGGUGGGCCCAACAUAUGGCCGCAAAAUGAUGAAGGGCUAUCUGUCCACAAAAGGGGUACAUGCUGCAGAGGGACGAAUUGGGUCAAUUUUAAGAGAGGUGCAUCAACCUUAUCAUGAAGCAAGACGCCAGACCUGCAGUGAUCACCUAUGGUAUGUGGGACCAGGUGCGAGUAGACCAUGGAAAGGAAUUUUAUUUAACACUGUUCAUGCAAGAGAUGCUGUCACAUCAUCGCUUCAAUCAGGAGAGACUGCCUUAUUUACAGACCUCAUCCACAAGAAACCACACAGUUGAAAGGAUUUGGCCUGAAAUCAACAACCGUGUCA